AACGAACGCUGGCGGCAGGCCUAAAAACAUGCAAGUCGAACGGGUGUAGCAAUACAUCAGUGGCGCACGGGUGAGUAACGCGUGGGAACAUGCCCCUUAGUACGGGACAACGUCGGGAAACUGACGCUAAUACCGUAUAAUAUCUCCGGAUCAAAGAUUUAUCGCUGAGGGAGUGGCCCGCGUCUGAUUAGCUAGUUGGUGAGGUAAUGGCUCACCAAGGCUACGAUCAGUAGCAGGUCUGAGAGGAUGAUCUGCCACACUGGGACUGAGACACGGCCCAGACUCCUACGGGAGGCAGCAGUUAGGAAUAUUGGACAAUGGGCGAAAGCCUGAUCCAGCCAUGCCGCGUGUGUGAUGAAGGCCCUAGGGUUGUAAAGCACUUUCGUUGGGGAUGAUAAUGACCGUACCCAAAGAAGAAGCACCGGCUAACUUCGUG
rnacentral:rRNA from 1 species